GCAACGAUGAAGAACGCAGCGAAAUGCGAUACCUAGUGUGAAUUGCAGAAUUCCGUGAAUCAUCGAGUUUUUGAACGCAAGUUGCGCCCGAGGCUCGUCCGAGGGCAUGCCUGCCUGAGCGUCCGC
rnacentral:rRNA from 1 species